GAUGAACGCUAGCGGCAGGCCUAACACAUGCAAGUCGAGGGAGGAGCUUUCGGGCUUCGACCGGCGUACGGGUGCGUAACGCGUAUACAAUCUGCCUUUCACAUAGGGAUAGCCCGAAGAAAUUUGGAUUAAUACCUAAUGGUAUAUAGGAGUGGCAUCACAUUUAUAUUAAAGCUGAGGCGGUGAAAGAUGAGUAUGCGUUCUAUUAGCUAGUUGGAGAGGUAACGGCUCCCCAAGGCGACGAUAGAUAGGGGUUCUGAGAGGGAUAUCCCCCACACUGGUACUGAGAUACGGACCAGACUCCUACGGGAGGCAGCAGUGAGGAAUAUUGGACAAUGGUCGGAAGACUGAUCCAGCCAUGCCGCGUGCAGGAAGACGGCCUUAUGGGUUGUAAACUGCUUUUGCAGGGGAAGAAUAAGGACUACGAGUAGUUUGAUGACGGUACCCUGCGAAUAAGCAUCGGCUAACUCCGUG
rnacentral:rRNA from 1 species